rnacentral:rRNA from 1 species
AUUGAACGCUGGCGGCAGGCCUAACACAUGCAAGUCGAGCGGAGGAAUGGAGCUUGCUCCAUGAAUCAGCGGCGGACGGGUGAGUAAUGCCUAGGAAUCUGCCUGGUAGUGGGGGACAACGCUUCGAAAGGGGCGCUAAUACCGCAUACGUCCUACGGGAGAAAGUGGGGGAUCUUCGGACCUCACGCUAUCAGAUGAGCCUAGGUCGGAUUAGCUAGUUGGUGGGGGAAAGGCCUACCAAGGCGACGAUCCGUAACUGGUCUGAGAGGAUGAUCAGUCACACUGGAACUGAGACACGGUCCAGACUCCUACGGGAGGCAGCAGUGGGGAAUAUUGGACAAUGGGCGCAAGCCUGAUCCAGCCAUGCCGCGUGUGUGAAGAAGGUCUUCGGAUUGUAAAGCACUUUAAGUUGGGAGGAAGGGCAGUAAGUUAAUACCUUGCUGUUUUGACGUUACCGACAGAAUAAGCACCGGCUAACUUCGUGCCAGCAGCCGCAGUAA